rnacentral:rRNA from 1 species
UAACGCGUGGGUAACCUGCCUCAUACAGGGGGAUAACAGUUGGAAAUGACUGCUAAUACCGCAUAAGCGCACAGUGCUGCAUGGCACAGUGUGAAAAACUCCGGUGGUAUGAGAUGGACCCGCGUCUGAUUAGCUAGUUGGUGGGGUGACGGCCUACCAAGGCGACGAUCAGUAGCCGGCCUGAGAGGGUGAACGGCCACAUUGGGACUGAGACACGGCCCAA